AUUGAACGCUGGCGGCAGGCCUAACACAUGCAAGUCGAGCGGCAGCGGAAAGUAGCUUGCUACUUUGCCGGCGAGCGGCGGACGGGUGAGUAAUGUCUGGGAAACUGCCUGAUGGAGGGGGAUAACUACUGGAAACGGUAGCUAAUACCGCAUAACGUCGCAAGACCAAAGAGGGGGACCUUCGGGCCUCUUGCCAUCAGAUGUGCCCAGAUGGGAUUAGCUAGUAGGUGGGGUAACGGCUCACCUAGGCGACGAUCCCUAGCUGGUCUGAGAGGAUGACCAGCCACACUGGAACUGAGACACGGUCCAGACUCCGACGGGAGGCAGCAGUGGGGAAUAUUGCACAAUGGGCGCAAGCCUGAUGCAGCCAUGCCGCGUGUAUGAAGAAGGCCUUCGGGUUGUAAAGUACUUUCAGCGGGGAGGAAGGUGCUGAGGUUAAUAACCUCAGCAAUUGACGUUACCCGCAGAAGAAGCACCGGCUAACUCCGUGCCAGCCGCCGCCGUAAAAC
rnacentral:rRNA from 1 species